GCAGACUGUGAACAAAGUUGGACAUGACCGUGCUACAAAAACCUCCGGCCUUUCUGAAGUUUCCGAGGUGCCAGUCAAGCAGGGAAAGAACAAAUGCAUGUACUCCGACAGCAGUGCGUCUGGAUUCUACACCAUUUACCCCGCCCUGCCAUCCUCACAUUGGAGAAGUUUGUAGAAGGAGAGGAUGAGACAGUCAAAGGAGCAGAGAUCAGGAAUAAAUUACUUGGUGUGUUCCAGCGGACUGAAAUAAUAGACGAAGGCGUAUUUUCUCCGUGGACCCUGU
rnacentral:lncRNA from 1 species